GAUGAACGCUGGCGGCGUGCCCAAUACAUGCAAGUCGAGCGAACGGACGAGAAGCUUGCUUCUCUGAUGUUAGCGGCGGACGGGUGAGUAACACGUGGAUAACCUACCUAUAAGACUGGGAUAACUUCGGGAAACCGGAGCUUAUACCGGAUAAUAUUUUGAACCGCAUGGUUCAAAAGUGAAAGACGGUCUUGCUGUCACUUCUAGAUGGAUACGCGCUGCACGAGCUAGUUGGUAAGGUAACGGCUUACCAAGGCUACGAUGCAUAGCCGACCUGAGAGGGUGAUCGGCCACACUGGAACGGAGACGCGGUCCAUGCGCCUACGGGAGGCAGCAGUCGGGAAUCUUCCGCAACGGGCGAAAACCUGACGGAGCAACGCCGCGUGAGUGAUGAAGGUCCUCGGAUCGUAAAACUCUGUUAUUAGGGGAGAACAUAUGUGGAAGUAACUGUGCACAUCUUGACGGUACCUAAUCAGAAAGCCACGGCUAACUACGUG
rnacentral:rRNA from 1 species